UACGGGGGGAGCAAGCGUUGUUCGGAUUUACUGGGCGUAAAGGGCGUGCAGGCGGUCUGUUAAGUCUAGGGUGAAAGCUCCCGGCUCAACUGGGAGAGGUCCUUGGAUACUGGCAGACUUGAGGAGAGUAGAGGAGAGUGGAAUUCCCGGUGUAGUGGUGAUAUGCGUAGAUAUCGGGAGGAACACCAGUGGCGAAGGCGGCUACCUGGACAAUUGCUGACGCUCAGGCACGAAAGCGUGGGGAGCAAAAGGG
rnacentral:rRNA from 1 species